rnacentral:ncRNA from 1 species
UCUAUGGAGAGUUUGAUCCUGGCUCAGGACGAACGCUGGCGGCGUGCUUAACACAUGCAAGUCGAGCGAUGAAGCACCUUCGGGUGUGAAUUAGCGGCGAACGGGUGAGGAACACGUGAGAAAUCUGCCUUCAACACUGGGAUAACUCCGGGAAACCGGGGCUAAUACCGGAUAUGAAAUCUGCGGGCAUCCGCGGAUUUGGAAAGUUUUUCGGUUGAAGAUGAUCUCGCGGCCUAUCAGCUUGUUGGUGAGGUAAU